GGUGUGCUGGUUGUCAAGGUUCUGGCUUCAAGGUCCAAAUCCGGCAGUUGGGACCUGGAAUGAUUCAGCAAAUGCAACAUCUUUGCAAUGAGUGCAAGGGUUCUGGAGAGACCAUCAGCGAUAAGGAUAGAUGCCCACAAUGCAAAGGUGAUAAAGUUGUGCCGGAGAAGAAAGUUCUUGAAGUGGUAGUUGAGAAAGGUAUGCAGAACGGGCAGAAGAUCACAUUCCCUGGCGAAGCUGAUGAAGCGCCUGAUACUGCCACUGGAGAUAUCAUCUUUGUUCUCCAGCAGAAGGAGCAUCCCAAGUUCAAGAGAAAGGGCGAUGACCUCUUCCACAAGCACACACUGACCUUGACUGAAUCUCUGUGUGGCUUCCAGUUUGUUCUGGCUCACUUGGAUAACAGGCAGCUGCUGAUCAAAUCGAACCCUGGCGAAGUUGUGAAGCCUGGUGGGUGAUUCUGACGUAUGAUUAUGAUUCUGCCUUCGUGAUUUGGCCAAUGCUCAUUGAUUAUUUUAAAUUUGUGCAGGUUCUUUCAAGACAAUCAACGAUGAAGGCAUGCCCAUGUAUCAGUGGCCCUUCAUGAAGGGCAAGCUGUACAUCCACUUCUCGGUGGAGUUCCCGAACUCGUUGAGCCCGGAGCAGUGCAAGGCCCUGGAGGUUGUUCUCCCGCCCAAGCCAGUAUCACAGUACACUGACAUGGAGCUGGACGAGUGCGAGGAGACGAUGCCCUACGACGUGAACAUCGAAGAGGAGAUGCGGAGGCGGCAGCAGCAGCACCAGGAGGCCUACGACGAGGAUGAUGAUGUGCCAAGUGGUGGGCAAAGGGUGCAGUGCGCCCAACAGUAGGCAUCUUGCGAC